rnacentral:rRNA from 1 species
AUUGAACGCUGGCGGCAGGCCUAACACAUGCAAGUCGAGCGGAGCGGCGGACGCGUGCGUGAUGCCUAGGAAUCUGCCUGGUAGUGGGGGAUAACGUCCGGAAACGGGCGCUGAUGCCGCAUACUAUCGGAUGAACCUCGGUCGGAGUAGCUAGUUGGUGGGGUAAAGGCCUACCAAGGCGACGAUCCCUAACUGGUCUGAGAGGAUGAGCAGCCACACUGGAACUGAGACACGGUCCAGACUCCUACGGGAGGCAGCAGUGGGGAAUAUUGCACAAUGGGCGAAAGCCUGAUCCAGCCAUGCCGCGGGUAUGAAGAAGGUCUUCGGAUUGUAAAGCACUUUAAGCUGGGAGGCGUUACCAACAGAAUAAGCACCGGCUAACUCCGUGCCAGCAGCCGCGGUAAUAC